rnacentral:rRNA from 1 species
UAGGGAAUCUUCGGCAAUGGGGGCAACCCUGACCGAGCAACGCCGCGUGAGUGAAGAAGGUUUUCGGAUCGUAAAGCUCUGUUGUAAGUCAAGAACGAGUGUGAGAGUGGAAAGUCCACACUGUGACGGUAGCUUACCAGAAAGGGACGGCUAACUACGUGCCAGCAGCCGCGGUAAUACGUAGGUCCCGAGCGUUGUCCGGAUUUAUUGGGCGUAAAGCGAGCGCAAGCGGUUUGAUAAGUCUGAAGUUAAAGGCUGUGGCUCAACCAUAGUUCGCUUUGGAAACUGUCAAACUUGAGUGCAGAAGGGGAGAGUGGAAUUCCAUGUGUAGCGGUGAAAUGCGUAGAUAUAUGGAGGAACACCGGUGGCGAAAGCGGCUCUCUGGUCUGUAACUGACGCUGAGGCUCGAAAGCGUGGGGAGCGAACAGGAUUAGAUACCCUGGUAGUCCACGCCGUNNCGAUGAGUGCUAGGUGUUGGAUCCUUUCCGGGAUUCAGUGCCGUAGCUNACGCAUUAAGCACUCCGCCUGGGGAGUACNACCGCAAGGUU